GACGAACGCUGGCGGCGUGCUUAACACAUGCAAGUCGAACGGUGAAAGCGGAGCUUGCUCCGCUGGAUCAGUGGCGAACGGGUGAGUAACACGUGGGCAACCUGCCCCUGACUUCGGGAUAACUCCUCGAAAGAGGUGCUAAUACCGGAUACGAAUCCUGCAGGCAUCUGCGGGAUUGGAAAGUUUUUCGGUCAGGGAUGGGCCCGCGGCCUAUCAGCUUGUUGGUGAGGUAGUGGCUCACCAAGGCGACGACGGGUAGCCGGCCUGGGAGGGCGCCCGGCCACACGGGGCCUGAGACACGGCCCAGACUCCUACGGGAGGCAGCAGUGGGGAAUAUUGCGCAAUGGGCGAAAGCCUGACGCAGCAACGCCGCGUGAGGGAUGACGGCCUUCGGGUUGUAAACCUCUUUCAGCAAGGAAGAAGCGAAAGUGACGGUACCUGCAGAAGAAGCACCGGCUAACUACGUGCCAGCCGCCGCGGUAA
rnacentral:rRNA from 1 species